rnacentral:tRNA from 1 species
ACCUGGGUGGCUCAGUCGGUUAAGCAUCUGACUUGGGCUCAGGUCAUGAUCUCGCGGUUUGUGGGUUCGAGCCCCACGUUGGGCU